rnacentral:rRNA from 1 species
UGUCUGGCGGCGAUAGCGCGGUGGUCCCACCUGACCCCAUGCUGAACUCAGAAGUGAAACGCCGUAGCGCCGAUGGUAGUGUGGGGUCUCCCCAUGUGAGAGUAGGGAACUGCCAGACUUU